rnacentral:sRNA from 1 species
UGACUAAUGUUCUCCUAAUACUCUUAGUA